GGGUUGUGAGGUUAAGCGACUAAGCGUACACGGUGGAUGCCCUGGCAGUCAGAGGCGAUGAAGGACGUGCUAAUCUGCGAUAAGCGCCGGUAAGGUGAUAUGAACCGUUAUAACCGGCGAUUUCCGAAUGGGGAAACCCAGUGUGAUUCGUCACACUAUCAUUAACUGAAUCCAUAGGUUAAUGAGGCGAACCGGGGGAACUGAAACAUCUAAGUACCCCGAGGAAAAGAAAUCAACCGAGAUUCCCCCAGUAGCGGCGAGCGAACGGGGAGGAGCCCAGAGCCUGAAUCAGCAUGUGUGUUAGUGGAAGCGUCUGGAAAGGCGCGCGAUACAGGGUGACAGCCCCGUACACAAAAGCGCAUGUGCUGUGAGCUCGAUGAGUAGGGCGGGACACGUGGUAUCCUGUCUGAAUAUGGGGGGACCAUCCUCCAAGGCUAAAUACUCCUGACUGACCGAUAGUGAACCAGUACCGUGAGGGAAAGGCGAAAAGAACCCCGGCGAGGGGAGUGAAAAAGAACCUGAAACCGUGUACGUACAAGCAGUGGGAGCACCCUUCGGGGUGUGACUGCGUACCUUUUGUAUAAUGGGUCAGCGACUUAUAUUCUGUAGCAAGGUUAACCGUAUAGGGGAGCCGUAGGGAAACCGAGUCUUAACCGGGCGUUAAGUUGCAGGGUAUAGACCCGAAACCCGGUGAUCUAGCCAUGGGCAGGUUGAAGGUUGGGUAACACUAACUGGAGGACCGAACCGACUAAUGUUGAAAAAUUAGCGGAUGACCUGUGGCUGGGGGUGAAAGGCCAAUCAAACCGGGAGAUAGCUGGUUCUCCCCGAAAGCUAUUUAGGUAGCGCCUCGUGAAUUCAUCUCCGGGGGU
rnacentral:rRNA from 1 species